rnacentral:tRNA from 1 species
GGGCGGAUAGCUCAACGGUAGAGCAAAUCUCUUAUACAGAUUUGGUUCCAGGUUCAAAUCCUGGUCCGCCCA